rnacentral:rRNA from 1 species
GAGUUUGAUCUUGGCUCAGAGCGAACGCUGGCGGCAGGCCUAACACAUGCAAGUCGAGCGCCCCGCAAGGGGAGCGGCAGACGGGAUAGUAACACGUGGGAACGUGCCCUUCAGUUCGGAACAACCAAGGGAAACUUUGGCUAAUACCGGAUACGUCCGAAAGGAGAAAGAUUUAUCGCUGAAGGAUCGGCCCGCGUCUGAUUAGCUAGUUGGUGGGGUAAUGGCCCACCAAGGCGACGAUCAGUAGCUGGUCUGAGAGGAUGAUCAGCAUCACUGGGACUGAGACACGGCCCAGACUCCUACGGGAGGCAGCAGUGGGGAAUAUUGGACAAUGGGCGCAAGCCUGAUCCAGCCAUGCCGCGUGGAUGAUGAAGGCCCUAGGGUUGUAAAGUCCUUUUCGGCGGGGGAAGAUAAUGACGGUACCCGCAGAAGAAGCCCCGGCUAACUUCGUGCCAGCCGCCGCCGUAAC